rnacentral:rRNA from 1 species
GACGAACGCUGGCGGCGUGCUUAACACAUGCAAGUCGAACGGAAAGGCCCUGCUUUUGUAGGGUGCUCGAGUGGCGAACGGGUGAGUAACACGUGAGUAACCUGCCCUUGACUUUGGGAUAACUUCAGGAAACUGGGGCUAAUACCGGAUAGGAGCUCCUGCUGCAUGGUGGGGGUUGGAAAGUUUCGGCGGUUGGGGAUGGACUCGCGGCUUAUCAGCUUGUUGGUGGGGCAGUGGCUUACCAAGGCUUUGACGGGUAGCCGGCCUGAGAGGGUGACCGGCCACAUUGGGACUGAGAUACGGCCCAGACUCCUACGGGAGGCAGCAGUGGGGAAUAUUGCACAAUGGGCGGAAGCCUGAUGCAGCAACGCCGCGUGCGGGAUGACGGCCUUCGGGUUGUAAACCGCUUUCGCCUGUGACGAAGCGUGAGUGACGGUAAUGGGUAAAGAAGCACCGGCUAACUACGUG